GCGCGGGGUCUGCAGAAGGUCAGAUGCUUCGCCUUUAGUCCCUUUUGCUGCUUUGCACCGACCCGCCCCCGGCCAAGCCCGCCUUAUCUUGUGCCUAAAAAGUCUAAAGGAGGGAGACGGGACGUCUCCGUGUGAUGGGAGCCGCGGGAGGUCCGGUGGAGGCUGGCGAUUACCUGCCUCUCGAAAGCUUCAGCAGAGCGUCCAGAGCCCCCGAUGCUCCUGGAAGGGCUCUGUCUUUGCUGCCUCAGAAAGCUGCUCCAGUAUUUGUAGCUCCUCAGGCUUCAGGAGCUGGAAUUCCCCUUGUUCAGAGUAGCCAAAGAAUGACAUUGAUGAGGAUGAAACAGACCUGGAUGUUAGAGAGGUACCUGGUCUCAGAAUGUACCUUGUUGGUUUGAUGAUGAAUUAUAAACUGGAGGGGAAAUGAAGACGCAGUUCAUGUAAAGCUACAUCAUCCUCUGCCUCUGUUGAGACAACACUGUAUCAUCUCAGCUGGUGGCAAAAAGUCUGCCAAGCUCUGUCCUUGUUGGCAUCACAGCAUGACCUGAAAGCAGACAUACCUUCUGCCACCACACAGUGCAGUGCUGGGGACCACUGGCUGUGGCCACAGGGCUGGGGAGCAGUGCUGUUGUUAGCACCACUGGCAAAUGGAACGCUGGCAAAUGGAGAGAACUGAAAUACAGUGCUCUUUUUAUUCUGUUUGUGUGGAUUUUCAUCACUCUUACUUGUUUUCAGUUCAAAUAACAGCUAUUUGUGAAUUUUAUUUUUCAAGAUUCUACUUGCAAAGGUUUGACUUUAACUUAACUGUUCAAUUAUGUUGAUUGUGUGUGCUGUUGUCCAGAGCUUGCUUUCUCACACAAUGCUUGAGUGAGCCAUAGGACACAGCCAUUAAACUUAGUUUAUGGAAAAUAUACCAGAAUUAUUUUGAUCACAUUGUCUUAAACUCUCCAUGUGAAAGAAAUGUAGCAGAUUUCCUCAUGUUCUGUCUCCAAAUCUUGCUUUCUGUUUUUUUUGUUGUUGUUGUUUUUGGGGUUUUUUUAAGAAUGGUAAUACUGGCUUCUGGACUCUGCUUGUGUUCUUCUUUAGCAUUGACUUUGUAUUUUCCUCCCUUUCUGAUAUUCUUUUCCUUCCUUUUAACCCAGUAUUGUUUUAAAUUAUUUCCUCCACUGCAAGUACUCAUGCUCAACCCCUUCAGUCUCUGCUAACCGCAGCAAAUUAGUGUGAUUUUCUUGGCAAGGACUUGUGCUUUACUUACUUACAUAGGUGUUUAUCCUAAAAUUUAUGAAACAUCUAUCUUUAUUGUCUUAGGUUUGAGAAAGGACAUG